rnacentral:lncRNA from 1 species
CCGCGCCUCCGGCUGGGGCUCCGAGUCGGGCUUCGAGAGGGACAGCGGAGGCCCUCCGCCGAGGGACGGUCGGCGCCAACCGAGUGAGUGGAGGCUUGGGUCCCAGGCAGCUGGCAGGCCCGCUUUCCAGGCCGCCCUUUCCCACGCUGGGCGCCCCGAGGGCGGGCAGUCACAUCUCCCUGACUCUAGACUCAAGGGUCUCGGGACCCGCUUGUUCCCGCGAGCGCACAGUGUGGCCAUUUUGGCUCGUUACCUCGUGCGCCGCGUGGAGAGGCGCGGGCCCGGCGCAGCCACAGGCGUGGGAGCCUGGGGAGGCGGGCGACCUACCCAAGGGUUGCAUGCGCCUGGGCAACUCGACAACUCCAGGGGUUCAAGGGUUCCUGAGCAAAAGAGAAAAGGAGGUUUGACCAUGAGGCUUGGAGAAGGGAGAAGGGCUGGGGAGUACGGCAAGCAUCAGCUCUUGGUGAUGCUGACGCUACCAGUUUGAGGACCACACUUUGAGAAACAAGGUUCUAGACUUUGACCUUCACUGCACAGGCUUACAAGACUGGUAAGUCUGAUUAAGAGAUCUUUUAGGAAUAGACUCAUAUUAACUAAGCUUACAAGCUUGCUGUAGAAAUCUAGAAAUCUAAUUUGUUAAUAUGUUAAUGAGAAAAAUGAAAUGUACGGACCCAUAAUCAUCUGCUGUUCCUAAGACAUGCCACCUGAGACGCCAAAUUAGAGCGCAGGAUAAGAAUGGACAGGAGACUGUAAAAGAUUGUUGUGUGUAUAGUUGGUUCAAAGAUUUCAGGCUAAUAGAGAUUUUCUAGCUGUCACUGCACUGGAGUGGUGGUUUUAAAAUGUACCUGGGAUUU